GAUGAACGCUAGCGGCAGGCCUAACACAUGCAAGUCGAGGGGUAACUAGAGUGAUAGCAAUAUUACUUUGGCUAGACCGGCGCACGGGUGCGCAACACGUAUGCAACCUACCUUAUACUGGGGAAUAACUUCGAGAAAUCGGCGCUAAUACCCCAUAACACUGCGGAGAGGCAUCUCUUUGCAGUUAAAGCUCCGGCGGUAUAAGAUGGGCAUGCGUCCAAUUAGCUAGUUGGUGAGGUAACGGCUCACCAAGGCUACGAUUGGUAGGGGUUCUGAGAGGAUGAUCACCCACACUGGUACUGAGACACGGACCAGACUCCUACGGGAGGCAGCAGUGAGGAAUAUUGCGCAAUGGACGAAAGUCUGACGCAGCCAUGCCGCGUGCAGGAUGACGGCCCUAUGGGUUGUAAACUGCUUUUGUACGGGAAUAAACCCUUCUACGUGUAGGAGGCUGAAGGUACCGUAAGAAUAAGCACCGGCUAACUCCGUGCCAGCCGCCGCAGUAA
rnacentral:rRNA from 1 species